CCUACGGGGGGCAGCAGUGUGGAAUAUUGGUCAAUGGACGAGAGUCUGAACCAGCCAAGUAGCGUGAAGGAUGACUGCCCUAUGGGUUGUAAACUUCUUUUAUAUGGGAAUAAAAUGUUCCACGUGUGGGAUUUUGUAUGUACCAUAUGAAUAAGGAUCGGCUAACUCCGUGCCAGCAGCCGCGGUAAUACGGAGGAUCCGAGCGUUAUCCGGAUUUAUUGGGUUUAAAGGGAGCGUAGGUGGAUUGUUAAGUCAGUUGUGAAAGUUUGCGGCUCAACCGUAAAAUUGCAGUUGAAACUGGCAGUCUUGAGUACAGUAGAGGUGGGCGGAAUUCGUGGUGUAGCGGUGAAAUGCUUAGAUAUCACGAAGAACUCCGAUUGCGAAGGCAGUUCACUGGACUGCAACUGACACUGAGGCUCGAAAGUGUGGGUAUCAAACAGGAUUAGAUACCCCAGUAGUC
rnacentral:rRNA from 1 species